rnacentral:rRNA from 1 species
UACGUAGGGUGCAAGCGUUGUCCGGAAUUAUUGGGCGUAAAGAGCUCGUAGGCGGUUUGUCGCGUCUGCUGUGAAAACUCGGGGCUUAACCCCGGGCCUGCAGUGGGUACGGGCAGACUAGAGUGCGGUAGGGGAGACUGGAAUUCCUGGUGUAGCGGUGAAAUGCGCAGAUAUCAGGAGGAACACCGGUGGCGAAGGCGGUUCUCUGGGAAUGACCUGACGCUGAGGAGCGAAAGUGUGGGGAGCGAACAGG